GGCGCUGUGGACGAGUCUGAUAAGUCGCCUUGACGGCAGUCAAGGAGAUCCCGGGUUCAAUUCCUGGCAGCGCCU
rnacentral:tRNA from 4 species